AGAGUAAGAGCGAUGGCGUGAAGUGCCGGAGGGACGGGGAGUUGCCGUCCGGACGAAGUCGGGGAUACCCGACGCGGUCACCGUUCUGCAUCCCGCU
rnacentral:ncRNA from 1 species